rnacentral:rRNA from 1 species
UAAGGAAUAUUGGUCAAUGGACGCAAGUCUGAACCAGCCAUGCCGCGUGAAGGAUGAAGGUCCUCUGGAUUGUAAACUUCCUUUAUCUGGGACGAAAACGGGAUUUUUAUCUCAAUUGACGGUACCAGAGGAAUAAGCACCGGCUAACUCCGUGCCAGCAGCCGCGGUAAUACGGAGGGUGCGAGCGUUAUCCGGAUUUACUGGGUUUAAAGGGUGCGUAGGUGGGCUUAUAAGUCAGUGGUGAAAUCUCCGAGCUUAACUUGGAAACUGCCGUUGAUACUAUAGGUCUUGAAUUAUCUGGAGGUAAGCGGAAUAUGUCAUGUAGCGGUGAAAUGCUUAGAUAUGACAUAGAACACCAAUUGCGAAGGCAGCUUACUACAUAUAAAUUGACGCUGAGGCACGAAAGCGUGGG